rnacentral:rRNA from 1 species
CCUAACACAUGCAAGUCGAGCGGUAGAGAGGUGCUUGCAUCUCUUGAGAGCGGCGGACGGGUGAGUAAUGCCUAGGAAUCUGCCUAGUGGUGGGGGAUAACGUUCGGAAACGGACGCUAAUACCGCAUACGUCCUACGGGAGAAAGCGGGGGAUCUUCGGACCUCGCGCCAUUAGAUGAGCCUAGGUCGGAUUAGCUAGUUGGUGAGGUAAUGGCUCACCAAGGCGACGAUCCGUAACUGGUCUGAGAGGAUGAUCAGUCACACUGGAACUGAGACACGGUCCAGACUCCUACGGGAGGCAGCAGUGGGGAAUAUUGGACAAUGGGCGAAAGCCUGAUCCAGCCAUGCCGCGUGUGUGAAGAAGGUCUUCGGAUUGUAAAGCACUUUAAGUUGGGAGGAAGGGUAGUAACCUAAUACGUUGCUACUUUGACGUUACCGACAGAAUAAGCACCGGCUAACUUCGUG